GAUGAACGCCAGCUACAGGCUUAACACAUGCAAGUCGAGGGGCAGCGCAGUGUAGUAAUACAUGGGCGGCGACCGGCGCACGGGUGCGUAACGCGUAUCCAACCUUCCCGUUACUCAGGGAUAGCCUUCCGAAAGGGAGAUUAAUACCUGAUGGUGUUCAAAUUCCGCAUGUUAUUUGAACUAAAGAUUUAUCGGUAGCGGAUGGGGAUGCGUGACAUUAGAUAGUAGGCGGGGUAACGGCCCACCUAGUCUACGAUGUCUAGGGGUUCUGAGAGGAAGGUCCCCCACACUGGAACUGAGACACGGUCCAGACUCCUACGGGAGGCAGCAGUGAGGAAUAUUGGUCAAUGGUCGGAAGACUGAACCAGCCAAGUAGCGUGAAGGAUGAAGGUUCUAUGGAUUGUAAACUUCUUUUAUACGGGAAUAAAACCUCCCACGUGUGGGAGCUUGUAUGUACCGUAUGAAUAAGCAUCGGCUAACUCCGUGCCAGCAGCCGCGGUAAAAC
rnacentral:rRNA from 1 species